UAUAUAAGUUAUCGUUUAUUUGAUAGUACCUUACUACUUGGAUAACCGUGGUAAUUCUAGAGCUAAUACAUGCUAAAAAUCCCGACUUUGGAAGGGAUGUAUUUAUUAGAUUAAAAACCAAUGCCCUCUGGGCUCCUUGGUGAUUCAUGAUAACUUUUCGAAUCGCACGGCCUUGCGCCGGCGAUGGUUCAUUCAAAUUUCUUCCCUAUCAACUUUCGAUGUUUGGGUAUUGGCCAAACAUGGUCGCAACGGGUAACGGAGGGUUAGGGCUCGACCCCGGAGAAGGAGCCUGAGAAACGGCUACUACAUCCAAGGAAGGCAGCAGGCGCGCAAAUUACCCAAUCCCGAUUCGGGGAGGUAGUGACAAUAAAUACUGAUACAGGGCUCUUUUGGGUCUUGUAAUUGGAAUGAGUACAAUUUAAAUCCCUUAACGAGGAACAAUUGGAGGGCAAGUCUGGUGCCAGCAGCCGCGGUAAUUCCAGCUCCAAUAGCGUAUAUUAAAGUUGUUGUGGUUAAAAAGCUCGUAGUUGAACCUUGGGCCUGGCUGGCCGGUCCGCCUCACCGCGUGUACUGGUCCGGCCGGGCCUUUCCCUCUGUGGAACCUCAUGCCCUUCACUGGGUGUGGCGGGGAAACAGGACUUUUACUUUGAAAAAAUUAGAGUGCUCCAGGCAGGCCUAUGCUCGAAUACAUUAGCAUGGAAUAAUGAAAUAGGACGUGUGGUUCUAUUUUGUUGGUUUCUAGGACCGCCGUAAUGAUUAAUAGGGACAGUCGGGGGCAUCAGUAUUCAAUUGUCAGAGGUGAAAUUCUUGGAUUUAUUGAAGACUAACUACUGCGAAAGCAUUUGCCAAGGAUGUUUUCAUUAAUCAGGAACGAAAGUUAGGGGAUCGAAGACGAUCAGAUACCGUCGUAGUCUUAACCAUAAACUAUGCCGACUAGGGAUCGGACGAUGUUAUUUUUUGACGCGUUCGGCACCUUACGAGAAAUCAAAGUGCUUGGGCUCCAGGGGGAGUAUGGUCGCAAGGCUGAAACUUAAAGG
rnacentral:rRNA from 1 species